rnacentral:snRNA from 1 species
UGGGGAGGAGCUGGCUGUGACAUCUGCCAUGCCAGCUAGUGCCAGGCUUGAUUUGGCUGAUAGGGCUGGUGAGGCAGCUGGUCCUCCUUCCUGUCCUCA